UUUCUUCAACCCCUCGCUCACGAAACCGAGUCAGAGCAUGACUCGACGCCGCCGCGCUUCCGAUCUUCCUCGGAUCGUGAUCCUGAGUCGCCCCCUCGUCCAAGAAGGCGCCCUAUAAAUAGCCAUGCCUAUCCUCCUUCGACCCCCUUAAACCCCGAGUCCAAAACCCUACCCACACCACGCCACCUCCGUUCGGAUCUCGUCGCCGCCGCCACAGUCCGCUGCCGUUUCCGACUCCGACCGCACCGGAGACGUCACCCCGAGCUCGUCCGCCGACCGCUGCACCGCCUCGCCCUCGUCACCUCCAGUUGCUCCCGAGCUCCACCAAGACCACCACCGAGUCGCCCUCGCCGAGACGCACCUCCCCGACACCUUCGCCGACCUCCCCGACCACCGGAGCCGCCGCCACCUCGACGCCGAGCCGCGUCACCGUCGUCACCGCCGCUAGGCUUAUUCCGACCAGGAGUGAGGCUACGCUCUAUGCUCGGUGAUUGCCCUAUGGAGUCGGAUGGACUCGCUGUCGUCUACGUCUUCCGCAGUAGUUUAUCUCAUGAGUUGGCCUUCGGCUGAAUUUAUUCUAUUGUAAUAAAGACUCUAUAUGAGAUUCGAUGUAAUAAAGCAUGUGUGAUUGCACUUUGGUAUAUUCA